GAAAUGUUGGGUUAAGUCCCGCAACGAGCGCAACCCUUAUCCUUUGUUGCCAGCGAUUCGGUCGGGAACUCAAAGGAGACUGCCAGUGAUAAACUGGAGGAAGGUGGGGAUGACGUCAAGUCAUCAUGGCCCUUACGAGUAGGGCUACACACGUGCUACAAUGGCAUAUACAAAGAGAAGCGACCUCGCGAGAGCAAGCGGACCUCAUAAAGUAUGUCGUAGUCCGGAUUGGAGUCUGCAACUCGACUCCAUGAAGUCGGAAUCGCUAGUAAUCGUGGAUCAGAAUGCCACGGUGAAUACGUUCCCGGGCCUUGUACACACCGCCCGUCACACCAUGGGAGUGGGUUGCAAAAGAAGUAGGUAGCUUAACCUUCGGGAGGGCGCUUACCACUUUGUGAUUCAUGACUGGGGUGAAGUCGUAACAAGGUAACCGUAGGGGAACCUGC
rnacentral:rRNA from 1 species